CGUCUGUCUAGCGAGCAUCGUACAGAGAAACGUCAGGCUGAUCAAGACAAGGAGGAACUUUUAAAUAUUUUAGAACAAUGUUCCUCCACAAGUACAAAUGUUUUCUCAGUGAUUGAGCCUGAAGCAAAUAACAGUUGUGAUUUGGGUGCGUCUGACAGUCCUGAAGCAUUGCCAACUAAUUAUUGCAAGCCAGAAACCAAAGAUGCAUCAACAGUGUUCAUUUGUUGUGAGGAGUUUACAUGCCAUGGAAGUCCAAACUACACUGUCGAUGCUGAAUACUGUGGAUGCAGAGGUU